AGUGAACGCUGGCGGUAGGCCUAACACAUGCAAGUCGAACGGCAGCACAGUAAGAGCUUGCUCUUACGGGUGGCGAGUGGCGGACGGGUGAGGAAUACAUCGGAAUCUACUUUUUCGUGGGGGAUAACGUAGGGAAACUUACGCUAAUACCGCAUACGACCUACGGGUGAAAGCAGGGGAUCUUCGGACCUUGCGCGAUUGAAUGAGCCGAUGUCGGAUUAGCUAGUUGGCGGGGUAAAGGCCCACCAAGGCGACGAUCCGUAGCUGGUCUGAGAGGAUGAUAAGCCACACUGGAACUGAGACACGGUCCAGACUCCUACGGGAGGCAGCAGUGGGGAAUAUUGGACAAUGGGCGCAAGCCUGAUCCAGCCAUACCGCGUGGGUGAAGAAGGCAUUCGGGUUGUAAAGCCCUUUUGUUGGGAAAGAAAAGCAGCAGGUUAAUACCCCGCUGUUCUGACGGUACCCAAAGAAUAAGCACCGGCUAACUUCGUG
rnacentral:rRNA from 1 species